CUUUGGUGUGCUGUUUUGCUCGUCUUAAGUAGAACUCUCUCUCUCUCAAGAACUAAGAUUUAAUUCUAGUCUGAAUGAUUUGGAUUAAUAGAGAAAUAAGUAAUUUCUUAUUUAGUUAAGCCUGAUAAGGUUGGGUACUUCCAUGAAAGAGCAUGGCAGAUGUGGUCAGAUAGUACAUAGAAAAUAUGCUAAUCUUUUUACUCUUUGUAGACUUGCAUGUGACGUCUCACCUUGGAUUCAUCUUUUAAAAACAGCCAAUUAAACAGACCAUUGCAGUCAUUCAGAUUGUGAAGAAUAUGAGCGCUUUAUGUCUCCAGUUUCCAAAAUCACUGAUGUUAUCAUUCUGUGGACAUGGACCAUGAAAUUAUACCACUGUGAAGUUCUGGAAGAAAAUGCAAAACUACUGUUAAAAAUCACAGAAACAACAAGAUAAAUAACCCACUGCAGUCAUUCAGAUCGUCAGGAGUGUGAGCACUGUAUGUUUUUAAAGUCGCUGGUGUUAUUAUUCUAUAAACGUGGAUCAUGAAAUCAAUCAGUUGUGAAAAUCUGGAUGAAAUGCAAUACUUGCCAAAGACCACAGGUGAGUACAAACAGGGAAGGGAGGGUUGUAUUGGAUCCAGCUCAAUGUUCACCAUCACCUGAUGCCUCCGAAAGCUGUAUGGAAUAAUGGGGGGAUUGACAAG
rnacentral:lncRNA from 1 species